GACGAACGCUGGCGGCGUGCCUAAUACAUGCAAGUAGGACGCGGUUGCGAACGGGGGAGUAACGCGUAGGUAACUACCUCUAAGAGGGGGAUAAAUAUUGGAAACAAUAGCAAAUACCGCAUACUAGUAGAUGGACCUGCGUUGUAUUAGAUAGUAGGUAGGGUAAUAGCCUACCUAGGCAACGAUACAUAGCCGUCCUGAGAGGGUGAUCCGCCACCCUGGGACUGAGACAUGGCUCGGACUCCAACGGGAGGUCGCAGUAGGGAGUCUUCGGCAAUGGGGGGAACCGUGACCGAGCAACGCCGCGGGAGUGAAGAGGGUUUUCGGAUCGUAAAGCUCUGUUGUUCAGGAAGCGUUACUUAACCAGAAAGGGACGGCUAACUACGUGCCAGAAGCCGCGGUAAUAC
rnacentral:rRNA from 1 species